rnacentral:RNase_P_RNA from 1 species
AGAGUAGGCGCAGGCGGUUGCAGAUCGGUGAUAGCCACUGGUUUGAGGAAAGUCCGGACUCCCGAAAGACCAAACUUGCUGGAUAACGUCCAGUGCGAGCGAUCGUGAGGAUAGUGCCACAGAAAGAUACCGCCAAAACAAGUCAAAAGUAAAAACUAAAAAGGUAAAAGAAAGAUUUUUUCUUUUCACUUUUGCCUUUUGCCUUUUGCCUUUUGCCUUUUUUGGUAAGGGUGCAAAGGUGCGGUAAGAGCGCACCAGCAGUAUCGAGAGGUGCUGGCUCGGUAAACCCCGGUUGGGAGCAAGGCCGAAGGAACUACGGUUGGUCUUUUACCAGUUCCGCUCAACAAGAGCCGCUAGAGGCGUCUGGUAACAGGCGUCCCAGAUAGAUAACUGCCCUCGUAAGAGAACAGAACCCGGCUUAUGUCCUGCUCUUUCC